rnacentral:rRNA from 1 species
UCUAGUGACCGAUAGUGAACCAGUACCGUGAGGGAAAGGUGAAAAGUACCCCGGAAGGGGAGUGAAAGAGAACUUGAAACCGUGUGCUUACAAGUAGUCAGAGCCCGUUCAUGGGUGAUGGCGUGCCUUUUGUAGAAUGAACCGGCGAGUUACGAUCUGAUGCAAGGUUAAGCAGCGAAUGUGGAGCCGUAGCGAAAGCGAGUCUGAAUAGGGCGUUGAGUAUUUGGUCGUAGACCC